rnacentral:rRNA from 1 species
UGGGGAAUAUUGGACAAUGGGCGCAAGCCUGAUCCAGCCAUGCCGCGUGAGUGAUGAAGGCCUUAGGGUUGUAAAGCUCUUUCGCCGGUGAAGAUAAUGACGGUAACCGGAGAAGAAGCCCCGGCUAACUUCGUGCCAGCAGCCGCGGUAAUACGAAGGGGGCCUAGCGUUGCUCGGAAUCACUGGGCGUAAAGCGCACGUAGGCGGAUCGUUAAGUCAGGGGUGAAAUCCUGGAGCUCAACUCCAGAACUGCCCUUGAUACUGGCGAUCUCGAGUUCGAGAGAGGUUGGUGGAACUCCGGAGUGUAGAGGUGAAAUUCGUAGAUAUUCGGAAGAACACCAGUGGCGAAGGCGGCCAACUGGCUCGAUACUGACGCUGAGGUGCGAAAGCGUGGGG